rnacentral:rRNA from 1 species
GACGGGUGAGUAAUGCCUAGGAAAUUGCCCUGAUGUGGGGGAUAACCAUUGGAAACGAUGGCUAAUACCGCAUAAUGCCUACGGGCCAAAGAGGGGGACCUUCGGGCCUCUCGCGUCAGGAUAUGCCUAGGUGGGAUUAGCUAGUUGGUGAGGUAAGGGCUCACCAAGGCGACGAUCCCUAGCUGGUCUGAGAGGAUGAUCAGCCACACUGGAACUGAGACACGGUCCAGACUCCUACGGGAGGCAGCAGUGGGGAAUAUUGCACAAUGGGCGCAAGCCUGAUGCAGCCAUGCCGCGUGUGUGAAGAAGGCCUUCGGGUUGUAAAGCACUUUCAGUCGUGAGGAAGGUAGUGUAGUUAAUAGCUGCAUUAUUUGACGUUAGCGACAGAAGAAGCACCGGCUAACUCCGUGCCAGCAGCCGCGGUAAUACGGAGGGUGCGAGCGUUAAUCGGAAUUACUGGGCGUAAAGCGCAUGCAGGUGGUUUGUUAAGUCAGAUGUGAAAGCCCGGGGCUCAACCUCGGAAUUGCAUUUGAAACUGGCAGACUAGA